GAUGAACGCUAGCUGGAGGCUUAAUACAUGCAAGUCGAGCGGGAUUGGUAGCAAUACCAUGAGAGCGGCGCACGGGUGAGUAACGCGUACACGACCUACCUCUGACAGGGAGAUAGCCCUGGGAAACUGGGAUUAAUACCGCAUAUUAUUCUGAUUAAUAAAGGAUUGGAAUGAAAGUUCAGGCGGUCAGAGAUGGGUGUGCGUCUGAGUAGCUAGUUGGGGGGGUAACGGCCUACCAAGGCGAUGAUCAGUAGGGGGCGUGAGAGCGUGGUCCCCCACACGGGUACUGAGACACGGACCCGACUCCUACGGGAGGCAGCAGUAAGGAAUAUUGGACAAUGGCCGCAAGGCUGAUCCAGCCAUCCAGCGUGCAGGAAGAAGGCCCUAUGGGUUGUAAACUGCUUUUAUCAGGGAAGAAACCUCUGGAUUUACUCCGGAGCUGACGGUACCUGAAGAAUAAGCACCGGCUAACUCCGUGCCAGCAGCCGCCGUAA
rnacentral:rRNA from 1 species